rnacentral:rRNA from 1 species
AAUAGAUACCCUGGUAGUCCACGCCGUAAACGAUGAGUGCUAAGUGUUAGAGGGUUUCCGCCCUUUAGUGCUGCAGCUAACGCAUUAAGCACUCCGCCUGGGGAGUACGGUCGCAAGACUGAAACUCAAAGGAAUUGACGGGGGCCCGCACAAGCGGUGGAGCAUGUGGUUUAAUUCGAAGCAACGCGAAGAACCUUACCAGGUCUUGACAUCCCACUGACCGGUAUAGAGAUAUACCUUUCCCUUCGGGGACAGUGGUGACAGGUGGUGCAUGGUUGUCGUCAGCUCGUGUCGUGAGAUGUUGGGUUAAGUCCCGCAACGAGCGCAACCCUUGAUCUUAGUUGCCAGCAUUUAGUUGGGCACUCUAAGGUGACUGCCGGUGACAAACCGGAGGAAGGUGGGGAUGACGUCAAAUCAUCAUGCCCCUUAUGACCUGGGCUACACACGUGCUACAAUGGAUGGUACAAAGGGCUGCAAGACUGCGAAGUCAAGCCAAUCCCAUAAAACCAUUCCCAGUUCGGAUUGCAGG